CAGCAGCCGCCGCGGGAAUACGAAGGGUGCAAGCGUUACUCGGAAUUACUGGGCGUAAAGCGUGCGUAGGUGGUGGUUUAAGUCCGUUGUGAAAGCCCUGGGCUCAACCUGGGAAUUGCAGUGGAUACUGGGUCACUAGAGUGUGGUAGAGGAUAGUGGAAUUUCCGGUGUAGCAGUGAAAUGCGUAGAGAUCGGAAGGAACAUCUGUGGCGAAGGCGAUUAUCUGGGACAACACUGACGCUGAGGCACGAAAGCGUGGGGAGCAAGCAGGAUUAGAUACCCCUGUAGUCCCUGUCUCUUAUAC
rnacentral:rRNA from 1 species